CUGUGAAUAUUCUUGCUGUUCUGAUUUUGUAAUAGUCAGGACAGGUAAAACAUUUCCAACAUUAAGACUAUGCAUGUAUCCCAGACCUCGUUCUUUUCCCAGGUCUGGUUUUAUAAAUGCUGGUGAUAAAC
ensembl:snoRNA SNORA72 Small nucleolar RNA SNORA72